ensembl:lncRNA
AACAUUUGCACAGUCAGGGUGGUACCAAUUCAGAAAAAUACUCCUGCCAAGGAGUAAGAGAAAGUGGAAAUGGAGAGAAGCCCUUCUUCCUCUCUACAGUCAAAAAGAAAGGGCAACCUUAAUUUGUGACCAAAUUUUCCUUGCUUUAUGUGGUUUUGUGUUAGAUUAGCUUUGCUGUGGCACUUAUCUGUUGUGGAAAAGCAGGGUGCUACUUUUCACUCCCUGCCAUAGUUUCCUGCUCCUUUUCCUGCAGUUAGCCAGUUUGGAGAACCAAAGCAGAAAAAAGCAAACGCUCAAGAAAAGUGACUCAUUUUCUGCCACUCUCAAGCCCUGCUCCAGCUCUGGGAAGGGUCAGCAGGUUGUGUCCUGGGGAAGAUGGAGGGCAGCAAAACCAACCAUUCGGGCAGCAGUUCUCCAUAAGAGCACCCUUAGCAGAUCUUUUUCCUGGAAGAAAAUUUGGAGCCUUUCUCAGCGUUUUCCUGAUCCAAAACCAAAACUGAAAAUUGUGUCCGGCAUAGAAAAGGAUGGGGUACGUUCUUCUGUUUUUUCCAAACCAAUGUAA